UUGAAAUUGAAGUCAAGUUGUUCAUAAAGAAUGUAUGAAGCUUCUCAACUUGAAACAUGAGUGUCAAAUACCUGAACACUUUUGGAUGGUGAAGCUCCUGGCUCGUAUAAACUCUCUGAAGUUAAUAGGAGUUUUGCUGUCUUGAGACAGUUUUAGACCAUAAGCUAUUUACUUUAUAAUAGAUUUUUAGCCAAGUAGCUUGUAUACUAUAAUUUUAUGGUUUGAUAUGUUUACUUGAAGUGAAUGAGAAAAUUUGGGGGGUAUUUCAUUCAUUAUACAUAUUGGGUUUUCUAUAAAUUUAGGUUUUCAUUCAAGCCAGAGAGCAGAACUUAGAUUGAAUUCUAUUACCCAUUUAUGAAAGCAUAUAUAUGGAAUAAAAGUUGCUCUUGGAGAUGCUGUGGGCUUAAGUUAGUUGGCAUUAUUAGUAUAGAUUGAUUAAAUAGUAACCAGAAAUACUUUCAAAUGGUAAUUUUAAAAUUAAAACAGUGGGAAUUACUUAGCAUUUACAUACUCAGAUAAAAGCUUUAUAGACUAAUGAGUUUAAUAUACUUUAAUCCUAAAAAAGUGUUUAUUCUUUCUUUAAUAUUUUUCCUAGGAGGCACCGUAUUGUGUACUAGUAUUCUCGUACAUUCUCAGUUUUAGACUAAUGAAAAGUGAGCAUGCUAGAAACUAAAACUAUUAAAUAGGAGUCACUUAUAAUUUGUUUUGUGUAGCUGA
rnacentral:lncRNA from 1 species